CUACGGGUGGCAGCAGUCACGAAUCUUCCUCAAUGGCCGAAAGGCUGAAGGAGCAAUGCCGCGUGUAUGAAGACGCCCCUCGGGGUGUAAAAUACUUUUAUUAGGGAAGAAACAAUGACGGUACCUAAUGAAUAAGGGGCUGCUAACCUCGUGCCAGCAGCAGCGGUAAUACGAGGGCCCCAAGCGUUAUCCGGAUUUACUGGGCGUAAAGGGUCCGUAGGCGGUUUGUUGCAUCUCCUGUUAAAUCAUCUGGCUCAACCAGGUGGCUGCGGGAGAUAUGGGCAAACUAGAGACUGGAAGAGGCAAGUGGAAUUGCUGGUGUAGGGGUUAAAUCCGUUAAUAUCAGCAGGAACACCAAAUGCGUAGGCAACUUGCUAGAACAGUUCUGACGCUGAGGGACGAAAGCGUGGGGAGCGAAUGGGAUUAGAUACCCGGGUAGUC
rnacentral:rRNA from 1 species